CGGCGUGCUUAACACAUGCAAGUCGAACGGAAAGGCUCCAGCUUGCUGGGGUGCUCGAGUGGCGAACGGGUGAGUAACACGUAAGUGAUCUGCCCUGCACUGGGGGAUAAGCUUGGGAAACUGGGUCUAAUACCCUAUAGGACCGCAUCGUGGUUGGUGUGGUGGAAAGGUUUUUCUGGUGUGGGAUGAGCUUGCGGCCUAUCAGCUUGUUGGUGGGGUAAUGGCCUACCAAGGCGGCGACGGGUAGCCGGCCUGAGAGGGUGUGCGGCCACAUUGGGACUGAGAUACGGCCCAGACUCCUACGGGAGGCAGCAGUGGGGAAUUUUGCACAAUGGGCGGAAGCCUGAUGCAGCGACGCCGUGUGGGGGAUGAAGGCCUUCGGGUUGUAAACUCCUUUCGUCAGGGACGAAGUUUUUUUGACGGUACCUGGAUAAGAAGCACCGGCUAACUACGUGCCAGCAGCCGCGGUAAUACGUAGGGUGCGAGCGUGUCCGGAUUUACUGGGCGUAAAGGCUCGUAGUGGUGUGCGCGUCGUCUGUGUAAUCCAGGCUAACU
rnacentral:rRNA from 1 species